CUUGAACUCCUGGUCUCAAGUAAUCCUUCUAAAACUACAAGUAUGUAGCAGCCCCACCUCAAAUAAUGGUUUUGAGACAGUUUCCCUAUAUAACCCUGCCUGAUCUGAAGCACCCUUAUAUAUUGUGUAGCCAGGCUAGCCUCAGCUUCUGCCUCCUGAGUGCUGUGAUUACAAGUAUGCUUCACCAUGCCUGUUAAAAAAAUAUUUUAAAAGGCAACAUUUGUUAUAAAAGUGUUCACAUCUGAAGCAAUAUAUUACCUUCAAGGUAUAGUACUGACCAUGCUGAGUUUUUACUGUAUGUGAAUUAAAGCUUUAGUUUUGUUUCUUUUUUAAAGCAUUUCAGCAUAUGAGCUCAUUUCUGUCCUGUGAUUGUUACAGUAAAACUUAAUAUUUGUGAUAUUUCUUUAGAAGCAUGCUAUGUUUCAGCAGAAACAGGAGGGUUUUUCUGUUCUCUGGAAGGAGUCUAAUGGAGCACUAGUCCAGAGGGAAGAGCUGAGCCAGCAGACUGUGGUCUGAGGGAGGUUGCCUGGGAACUGCUGACUGUGAGGUCAAUAAAGGGAGGGAGCUGAAGUGGAUAGAAUGGAGUGGGAAAGUCCCCUAUUAACCUGGAGGCUGGGAGGCCCUGACCUUCUGGAAUCUCCCACCUUAGUGGAAAUACUAGGGAAAGUAAGAAAGGACAACUACUAGCUAAUGGGGGUGUGUCAAAAUCAAAACAGGAGGUGUGAUGCCAGUACUGUUCAUGCAGCUGCCCUAGGGUUCCAGGACUCCCUGGAGUACAGAAGGAUUCAGAACCUGGGCACUGGACCCUGUGCUGACAAGGAGCCUCCCAUUCAUGGACCGACCACCACUAUAAACAUGCAAAUGGGAAGUUGGCCGUCUACAUGGAUAGGAAGGAGCAAGAGAAUGGGAGUGGAAUUCAGAACAUUCAGAUGUGGAGUUAAUGUGCGUCACUGCUGCCAGCCCCUGCUGCCAGCGAUAGGUUCUGUGUUUUUCCAGUGGGAAACUGAUCCACAGAGAUGCAUGCAAACCUGCACCUCCUUGCUCUUUUCUGCUUUCCUCCUGAUUGUUGCUUACUCUUUGGAACAUCAGCUCACUGUACAGAGCCUCUGUGGAAGCAGAUUUCAGAACAAAGGUCAUCUGUAAAAGCAGCACGAUGGGUGCUUAGAGUGAAGGUAUCUAUGGACUUGGGAGCAUUUGCUAACUUUAUUAAACUUUGUGUAAUAUUUUCCCAUUUUAUCAUGUCCAUGAAGGGAGAAAGGUAAGAAAGCUGUGGUAGUCUCUAUAUUGAUUUCAAAUAGUUUGCUUAAGGAGAGUUAGUGAGGAAGUAGCUGUCUUUUAGGAAGAUGAUUUUAUCAGCAACAGAGCCCUUAGAAUGUCUUCAACUAGACUAUAAACAAUGAAGUUAUUUUCUUUCACAUUUGCACCAUGAGACCUGGUAGUCUUAAGCUUUAUACACAAAUAGCUUUGUAUCAAGAACUAAAUUUACAGGAACUAGAGGAAAAGAUACUCCUGUUUGACCCCAGUCGCACAGGCUCUCCAAGGCAGCUACUGAUACAAGUUUCUUAGGGCUACUACUAAAGGGUUGGUUAGUAGUACACAGGGGACAUCGAAACUGAACAAAGUGAAUCCUUUUCCUCAGAUUUUAAACAUAAGAACAAUGUAGGUCUUCACUAGCCAGUAACCCUUGUCAGUAACAUAGGAAGUUAGGCAGGUUAUAGCGAAAGGGGAUAAAGAGAAGGAGAGGCAGAGAUUCAGAAAGGCAUAAACCUGGCUAUGAAAGACACUCAGCUUCACUGAGGACCAGCUACAAGGUCACAAAAUUUGGGGUGGCAUAUAUUCAUUUUGUGGCAUGUUUCGAUAGUAUUUGGAUACAGCCUAAUAAAGACAUCAAAAAAGAAUAUUAUAAACUGGAA
ensembl:lncRNA